AGAGUUUGAUCCUGGCUCAGGAUGAACGCURGCGGCRKGCYUAAUACAUGCAAGUCGAACGGGAUUCGGGUUAGCAAUAAUCUGAUGAGAGUGGCGCACGGGUGCGUAACACGUAUGCAACCUACCUUUAACUGGUGAAUAGCCCCGGGAAAUCGGGAUUAAUACACCAUAACAUUGCGAGAUGGCAUCAUUUUGCAAUUAAAGAACUUCGGUUARAGAUGGGCAUGCGGGACAUUAGCUWGUUGGUGAGGUAACGGCUCACCAAGGCAACGAUGUCUAGGGGUCCUGAGAGGGUUUUCCCCCACACUGGUACUGAGACACGGACCAGACUCCUACGGGAGGCAGCAGUAAGGAAUAUUGGUCAAUGGGCGCAAGCCUGAACCAGCCAUGCCGCGUGCAGGAAGACGGCCCUAUGGGUUGUARACUGCUUUUGUCAGGGAAUAAACGWKGGUAYGURUACYSWCCUGAAGGUACCUGAAGAAUAAGCAUCGGCUAACUCCGUGCCAGCAGCCGCGGUAAUACGGAGGAUGCAAGCGUUAUCCGGAUUCAUUGGGUUUAAAGGGUGCGCAGGCGGGUUGAUAAGUCAGAGGUGAAAUCCCACAGCUUAACUGUGGAACUGCCUUUGAUACUGUCAGUCUAGAGUAUAGUUGAAGUUGGCGGAAUGUGUCAUGUAGCGGUGAAAUGCUUAGAUAUGACACAGAACACCGAUCGCGAAGGCAGCUAGCUAAGCUAUAACUGACGCUCAUGCACGAAAGCGUGGGGAUCAAACAGGAUUAGAUACCCUGGUAGUCC
rnacentral:rRNA from 1 species